rnacentral:rRNA from 1 species
UACGGGGGGGGCGAGCGUUGUUCGGAAUUACUGGGCGUAAAGGGCGCGUAGGCGGUUCGCUAAGUCGGAUGUGAAAACUCUGGGCUCAACCCAGAGCCUGCAUCCGAAACUGGCGGGCUAGAGUUCUGGAGGGGAUAGCGGAAGUUCCUGGUGUAGCGGUGGAAUGCGCAGAUAUCAGGAGGAACACCAACGGCGAAGGCAGCUCGCUGGGACGGUACUGACGCUGAGGCGCGAAAGCGUGGGGAGCGAACAGG